UGCUACACUGCUAGUGGCAAAUCCUCAGUUCGUGUUGUUGGGAGAUCUGUUGUUUUGUAGUGAGGGUCGAGUGUCCUAGGACUCAAUGCUACUGUUUUGAGACUGGAAUAUGGUUGGAUCUGAACGUGUCUGGUCGGUGGUCAAGCCGCUUCCUUUCUGCAACUGCUGCAUUAAUGACAGUUAAACACCCCACAAAAGUGGUUUCCUUUUACAUAUCUUUGUGUAGUUUUAUGAAGAGUAUCUUUACACAAAGUUUAAACCUUAAAGUUAUUUUUGUGUAUUGUAUCUUUGUAUAGAUUAACAAUAUUUUUGUGUGUGAACUUGUGAAUCUUUUGAAAUAAAACAA